UACGGAGGGGACUAGCGUUGUUCGGAAUUACUGGGCGUAAAGCGCGCGUAGGCGGAUUUGUAAGUCGGGGGUGAAAUCCCGGGGCUCAACCUCGGAACUGCGUCCGAUACUGGUUGGCUUGAAUCCGGGAGAGGGACGUGGAAUUCCAGGUGUAGCGGUGAAAUGACGUAGAUAUCUGGAGGAACACCGGUGGCGAAGGCGACGUCCUGGACCGGCAUUGACGCUGAGGCGCGAAAGCCAGGGGAGCAAAGCGGG
rnacentral:rRNA from 1 species